GUGCCUUUCCCAAAUUUAGGGAAUUUUUCUGUGCACAGUUUUUUGUGCUGGGAGCACAUGGUGCUGGCUCACAGUGAGGUUUUCAUUCAUCAUCACCCCUAAUAUUUCUCUGUAGGGCUGUUCUCAGUCCCUUCUCCAUCCAACCUGUGCUGCCCAGAGAAGCUGUGGCUGCCCCUGGAUCCCUGGAAGUGUCCAAGACCAGCAGAAAGUAACAGCAUCUGAGUACUGAAUUCUCAAGCAGAAGUCAGGGAGAAGUGCUGCCACACAGAGGCAGAGUUGAGGCUGCUUCUAAAGGGAAGGAGUGAAGGAAGAAAAUCCUUUUUGGUUAGAAAUUACCUGGAUUUCCUGCUGGGGACACCCCAUCACCCUUCAAGACUUUUUCCUUAUCCAAGAACUCUUGGUUUAGGUUGUUUUCCUAAGAGCUGCUGGGUUUUGAUACAGGAUGAAGGAUGAUGAAAUAAGAGAGCCCUGUGUCAUCAAGAAAUCAUCUUUUCUUGAUGAUGUCUCUGCCUCAUAAACUCAGAUGCUGCAGCAUCUUUUUAUGUCCUGAGGAUGAGCUGAACACUAAACCAGAUGAACAAGCUGCAGGAGCCCAGCACUUGCCCAGCUGGGGCUGACCUUUUGAAGGACCACUCGAGGAGAGUGGAGGCUUGGCCAGGUGAUGAUUCCAAGCUCUGCAGUCCCUGGAUCAGGUACAGCAUCACAGCCCUGACCUCAUUUACAGCUCCUGCAUUUCUGAAAUGCCAAGAGAUUAUGCAGAGAGCUUUCCUGAGUGUGAUCAUGUGAGGCAAGAGACAUGAAGUCAUUGUCCUAAAGCCCAAGGUGAAACCAGGCUGUCCCAAAAAGUCCCAGCCGGGCCUGGAGCUGCAUUUUGUAGUGCUGCAGGAAGAAAAACUGAUCCUGGCUAAUUUUUUCUAGAUGGUUUUGUUAAGGUCAAGGGGAUUUUGUGGUCAUACCAGCACACAACCACAAUUUGAGCAAGGUUUUGGUUACAAAAUUACCAAAUGUCUGUGAAUUUCAUGAGUUGUCCAGUUAGAGUGAGCUGUUUCCUGCCUUCAUCCUUUUGGCAAAGCUGGCAUCUAGGAUUCCACUCAGUUUUCUGGCCAUCAGCAUUUAAAAAAUAAAAGUUAAGAUGUAAUUAUUUCUCUGUAGCUCAGGAUUCCAUUUCAGAAACUCUAUCCAUACAUGAAUGCUUUUUUCCUACAGAAAAAAAUCCUGUAUUUCACAGGAAAUAAUCUGUUAUUUUUUCUGGUUUCUGGACUGAAACCCUCAGGGGUGACAGUGACUUCUCAGGAGCCACAUUGGGCUCGGUGCAUGUGAACAUUCCACACUCUCCAUGUCUGGGAAGGAUUAACAGAAUCCCCUCCUCCUGCUUGGACAUUCCCCCCUGGAAAGCACAUUCCCAUCCAACAGGCCCAUUCCUUCUGCUCCACAGCUCCUGAGCUGCCUCAGCCAGGCUUCACAGGGCCCACGGUGUUCAAGGGUUCAGAUUUCUGGGAGCAGAGAAUUUCCCAUCAUCAGCUCUGCACCAUCAGUUUGCUGCUUCCCACUCUGGAAAACAACUUGGAAGACCUCGGGAUUAUUCUCACAAUCCUCUCUGAGCUAAGAAACCCCAGUAACUGCUAAUUAUUCAGUAAUUAAUUGUCUCUCUGGGGUUGUAAUUGCGAGUGUGGCCUCUCCCCAUCACUGUGUGCUCGUUAGGCAGCGGUUUCCUCAAUGCCCAAACAAAUUCUGUCUUUCCCAUUUGAUUGGAUUACAAAAUUGCCUUCAACUCUGUGGAGAUGAUGAGGAAAAGUGUGGUUCUGCACAGGAGUUACCAUGGGAACUAAAGUAGGGAGAGAUCUUUGUAAACCAGAAGUCAAGCAGACUGUGUUUCAGACAAUUAAUAUUGUCUCAUUCACGAGCUUUAACCCUUCUGUGUUCCAAUGUAGUUUUGAUCUCUUUUUCCAUAUCAAAUGCUGUUGUCAAAGAGGUUCUGCUCCCAUGAGGAUUCAUCCCUCAUUCUCCUGCAAAUCCACCUUACAGCCCUGGUUAGCUUCAGCUUCCCCUUCUGCUUUGCUUUUUGGGCAUGGGGACAUCUCUGGAGGUAUCCAGGUAGGAUUUGGUUUGGGACUGGGACAUAGAUGUGGGGACAAAUGUCCAGGCUCCCAUCCUGUCACUGUAACCAGAACUGGUGGCUCAGCUGAGCAGCUCUCAUUGCUUCUCCUGCAUGAACCCCUCUGCUCUCUUUUCUAACACCUUGGACCCCUCAAAUCUUCUUUUCUUCUACUUCCAUGUGUGGCACUUUAGGGAGGAGCAGCUGAGAACUGACCCAGUGCCAGUAGCUGUCCCUCUGCUCCCCUCUCUUUCCAAACCCUCUUUUUCCAGCCCCCAGCCCAUCUCCUGACUUCUCUCCCAGCAUCCUGCCACCCUCUGGAUCUCCCCUCACACCACAUCCCUCACACCUUAAAAAUAAUUAGCAAAGUGAUUAUUUAUUAUUUUCCUUCAGGCCUCUGCCUGACUCUGUGAACAGGAGGAAUUCCCCUCCCAAGGGAAUUCAUUAUUCAUGUAUUAAAAAAGCCAGCUCCUCCUCAUCCCCCUCCCCUGUGUGCUGCUGACCUCCUUCCCUGUGCUGGAUACGGAAUUACUCAUUUUCCCAGGGGCUGAUCCAUCACUUUGUUGCUUCAGCUCUUCACAAACAAUAUUUCUGUCCCACCAGAGGCAAAAGCUGAGUUCAGCAUAAAACUACUUUAUUUUCCAGCUGCUGUUCAGAUCACAGGGCCUUAAUCCCACUUUUUCCACCAUCCCACCUGCAGCCACAGUUCAUCACCCUGGAAAAGGCAAGAGCCAAACCACCAAAUUUCCAGUUUCUAAUCAAAAUCAGGGAAGAGUGAGACAACCUCAGAGAAUCCCAGGGGAGAAUUAGCAUUGCAUGAGGCAAACCUCCUCCUUUCCCCAGCUCCAGUCUCCAAGUGCUGAACUGAUUUUGGCAGAAACCUUGCAGAAUAUUUGUUCUGAGGCAGCCUGGAAUACGUCAGUGGGAGAGAUUUCAGCUCAGGGAGAUAAGAAGAGACUGGAAGCAGGAGCUUGCAGUAGGAAAUGCUGGGCAGCCAGAAAUUGAGGUGUUGGCAUUUCCUCUGCAGAUUUUGUUGCAGAAUAUGAAAAACCAGAGAGUGCAGAGCAAAGAACAUGGGCCGAGGACCCUCUCACACAGAGGAUCUGCAGAGCCAGAUCAAAAUGACCACUUCCUGCAUUCCAAAUACUUCUUUGUCCAGAUGUAAAUCCCUUCUGAAAAACAGAGCUGGUUUUUCAUCCCUUUGCAUCCUGAGAGUUGCUCUUGGUCCUGGGAGACAGCAAAUAUUGUGCUGAUUGAAACCCAUUUUGCUGUGUUUUAGUGAUGAGAAACCUGUUGCCCUGGGGCCAGCACAGGAAUCUGCCUGAGGGUGGCCAAAGACACGGAGAGAGAAAUGAUAUUAAAACUGUUUCCUUGUAAAAUGCCACUUUUGCAGGAGCAAAGUCUGGGAAGGUAUUUUUGUGCUGAUUUAGGAGCUCCAGCAGACCAUACAAGCCCAGGCCUUGUUCAGACAAGACCAAAAAUAGGCUGUGUUUAACUCCACAGUCCAUAAAAACAUUCCAGUUAAGUCUAUUCUAUCCUUAAAAAUCCACGAGGCAGGGGAGAUGUCAGCACACCUUGCAUUUCCCUGUCACUGUGGAAAAGGAAGCCUGUCCAGCCCAAGAAGCUGGAAAAAGAACCAGAAAUCUUUUUUUCUGUGCUUAUUCUGGCCAUGUGGAUGCACCCCCAGGCACCUGCAGAGCAGUCCCAGCCUUGGGAAGGCAGUAAAGCUCAAACCUGUGUGUUCACUGCAGUCCCUGAGGCUGGAAGAAUUGUUCUGGGAAGCUGGGGAGGAAGUGAUGUUGCUUUUGAAGCUGAAAAUAAUUCUUUCAGAUGACUUAAUCUGUAGCAGACCCUUUACUUCACUGUAGGAGCUAAGGCUGACGGGAGGCAGGUCAUGACCUUCUGGAAGAUUCUGUUGGAUUAUUAGAUCAGAUUAGAUUAGGUUAUUUUUCCUGGAUAUUGAGGUCACAAGGGGAGGGAGGGAUAGGCUGGUUUUCCACAUAUCCCCAGGCCUGAGGUGCUCUUCAUGGGGAAUCACCUCACUCCUCCUUUUCUUUCCAUCCCUAUUCAGCUGACUUCUGUGGGGGAAUUGAUGCCAGCCUCUUUCUAGCCAUGUCCUCACUGCUAGGAUCAAACCCACAGUGCCAGGCAGUGCCACAAAUAAAACCCUGGAAGCGUUUGUGCCCUCAGGAAGAGCCAGGCUGGCAGAAAGCCUGCUGCUGCCUCAUUUUCAAAAGGGAUUUUAAAUCAAAUUGGGGUGGAUUUUGGUUUUUUUUUUUUUUCUUUAAACAAGACAACUCAAAUGGAGAGCUCAGCUUCAAAGAAUCAAACAGAGCAGCACAGAAAAAGCUCCAGAGCAUCUAAAGAGGCAGAGAAUGACACUCCUGACCCUGGUGAGGCCAGCAAGGCACACAGAGCUUCCAAAGUCGUUGGCUUUGAG